GAUGAACGCUAGCGGGAGGCUUAACACAUGCAAGUCGAGGGGCAUCACGAGGUAGCAAUACUUUGGUGGCGACCGGCAGACGGGUGAGUAACGCGUAUGCAACCUACCCUGUACAGGGGGAUAACCCGGAGAAAUUCGGACUAAUAUCCCAUAAUAUUAUUGGAAGGCAUCUUUUGAUAAUUAAAGUUCCGGCGGUACGGGAUGGGCAUGCGUAACAUUAGCUGGUUGGUAAGGUAACGGCUUACCAAGGCUGCGAUGUCUAGGGGUCCUGAGAGGGUGAUCCCCCACACUGGUACUGAGACACGGACCAGACACCUACGGGAGGCAG
rnacentral:rRNA from 1 species